rnacentral:rRNA from 1 species
AUUGAACGCUGGCGGCAGGCCUAACACAUGCAAGUCGAACGGUAACAGGAAGCAGCUUGCUGCUUUGCUGACGAGUGGCGGACGGGUGAGUAAUGUCUGGGAAACUGCCUGAUGGAGGGGGAUAACUACUGGAAACGGUAGCUAAUACCGCAUAACGUCGCAAGACCAAAGAGGGGGACCUUCGGGCCUCUUGCCAUCGGAUGUGUCCAGAUGGGAUUAGCUAGUAGGUGGGGUAACGGCUCACCUAGGCGACGAUCCCUAGCUGGUCUGAGAGGAUGACCAGCCACACUGGAACUGAGACACGGUCCAGACUCCUACGGGAGGCAGCAGUGGGGAAUAUUGCACAAUGGGCGCAAGCCUGAUGCAGCCAUGCCGCGUGUAUGAAGAAGGCCUUCGGGUUGUAAAGUACUUUCAGCGGGGAGGAAGGGAGUAAAGUUAAUACCUUUGCUCAUUGACGUUACCCGCAGAAGAAGCACCGGCUAACUCCGUG